UUAAUACAUUAAUAUAGGAGUGAAAUGUUAAUCGAUUUUAUUAAUAUCUAGUAACUUCUGAGAAAAAUUUAGUUUAAAAUGUUUAGAAUUAUCAUUUUAUGUACAUAUUUAGUUUUUAGGGGAUGAGCUCUAAAGAUAAAUUAUAAGAAUUAAAGUUACACACUUUUUUGUUUGGGCUUAGAGUUAGCUAUAUGAUAGUGUUAUAAGAUAGAAGUUUGGGAUUAUGAUUUAUAAUUCUUUUUAAGAAAGGAGGUUAUUUUUUAAAUUUAAUAUUAAAAGAAAAUAUGAUAAUAUUAGUAGAUUAAAUUAUAAAAUAGUCAAUAGAAGUUUUUUAUAUUAUUAUAAUAAAAGAAUUCGGCAAAAUUGAUCUCCGAAUGUUUAACAAAAACAUUUCCUCUUCGUUUAAGAGGUAAGGCCUGCUCACUGAAUUUUAAAGAGCCGCAGUAUAUUGACUGUGCUAAGGUAGCAUAAUCAUUAGUCUUUUAAUUGGGGACUGGUAUGAAUGGCUAAACGAGAGAUCAACUUUUUUUAUUAUAUAGAUUGAAUUUAAUUUUUUAGUGAAAAGGCUAAAAUUGUUCAGAAAGACGAGAAGACCCUAUAGAGUUUUAUAUAAUAAAAUAUCUUAUUUCAUUGGUUUUAUAUAGGUAGAAUAUGGUUUUAUAUUUUGUUGGGGCGACAUUAAGAUAUGAUGAACUCUUGAUUUUUAUUACUUAUAUUUAGGGAAAUAAUGAUCCUCUAGAAGAGAUCAAAAGAAAAAAUUACCUUAGGGAUAACAGCGUAAUCUUUUUUGAGAGUUCAUAUCGACGAAAAGGUUUGCGACCU
rnacentral:rRNA from 1 species